UCCUUGGUGGUCUAGUAGUUAUGACUCAGCACUUCCAAUGCAGAGGGCAUGGGUUUAAUUCCUGAUUGGGGAC
rnacentral:tRNA from 1 species